UGGAGCAGGGUGCUUGUGGGUUUGAUUCCCACGUUGGGGCAGGGUGCUUGUGGGUUUGAUCCCCACAUUGGAGCAGGGUGCUUGUGGGUUUGAUUCCCAUGUUGGAGCAGGGUGCUUGUGGGUUUGUUUCCCACAUUGGAGCAGGGUGCUUUUGGGUUUGAUUCCCACUUGGCUACAUACACUCCAUUAGCAGGUGGUAACAUUGAGUGGAUGUGGAUCACAGCUGAUUGAGGGUUGUUUUGAUUUGUCUCUCCAGUGGUGAACGAGGAUGGCCAGCCGCUGAUAGAGGGGAAACUGAAGGAGAAGCAGGUUCGCUGGAAGUUCAUCAAACGCUGGAAGACUCGCUACUUCACCCUGGCAGGAAACCAGCUCCUCUUCCGGAAGGGAAAAUCAAAGGACGAGCUAGACGGCAGCACCAUCGAGCUGAGCAAAGUGCAGAGCGUCAAGGUGGUGGCUAAGAAGCGGCGUGAACGGGGUCUCCCUCGGGCUUUUGAGAUCUUCACGGACAGUAAGACUUACGUCCUGAAGGCUCGUGAUGAGAAGCAUGCUGAGGAGUGGCUCCAGUGUAUUAAUGUUGCCGUGGCCCAGGCCAGAGAGAGAGAGAACAGAGAGGCCACCACCUACCUGUGACCUUAUGACCUGGAAGAUAUUCUACUGUGACCCGUUCCUGACCCAGAAACACAACACACAGCCCCGUACUACUGUACCAUCUACUAACAACAGUCCUGUAAUGUCCACUGUUUCUGAUCAUAUGACAGUCCUGUGAUGUCCACUGUUUCUGAUCAUCUGACAGUCCUGUGAUGUCCACUGUUUCUGAUCAUAUGACAGUCCUGUGAUGUCCACUGUUUCUGAUCAUAUGACAGUCCUGUGAUGUCCACUGUUUCUGAUCAUAUGACAGUCCUGUGAUGUCCACUGUUUCUGAUCAUAUGACAGUCCUGUGAUGUCCAUUGUUUCUGAUCAUAUGACAGUCCUGUGAUGUCCACUGUUUCUGAUCAUAUGACAGUCCUGUGAUGUCCACUGUUUCUGAUCAUAUGACAGUCCUGUGAUGUCCACUGUUUCUGAUCAUAUGACAGUCCUGUGAUGUCCACUGUUUCUGAUCAUAUGACAGUCCUGUGAUGUCCACUGUUUCUGAUCAUAUGACAGUCCUGUGAUGUCCACGGUUUCUGAUCAUAUGACAGUCCUGUGAUGUCCACUGUUUCUGAUCAUAUGACAGUCCUGUGAUGUCCACUGUUUCUGAUCAUAUGACAGUCCUGUGAUGUCCAUUGUUUCUGAUCAUAUGACAGUCCUGUGAUGUCCACUGUUUCUGAUCAUAUGACAGUCCUGUGAUGUCCACUGUUUCUGAUCAUAUGACAGUCCUGUGAUGUCCACUGUUUCUGAUCAUAUGACAGUCCUGUGAUGUCCACGGUUUCUGAUCAUAUGACAGUCCUGUGAUGUCCACUGUUUCUGAUCAUAUGACAGUCCUGUGAUGUCCACGGUUUCUGAUCAUAUGACAGUCCUGUGAUGUCCACUGUUUCUGAUCAUAUGACAGUCCUGUGAUGUCCACUGUUUCUGAUCAUAUGACAGUCCUGUGAUGUCCACGGUUUCUGAUCAUAUGACAGUCCUGUGAUGUCCACUGUUUCUGAUCAUAUGACAGUCCUGUGAUGUCCACUGUUUCUGAUCAUAUGACAGUCCUGUGAUGUCCACGGUUUCUGAUCAUAUGACAGUCCUGUGAUGUCCACUGUUUCUGAUCAUAUGACAGUCCUGUGAUGUCCACUGUUUCUGAUCAUAUGACAGUCCUGUGAUGUCCACUGUUUCUGAUCAUAUGACAGUCCUGUGAUGUCCACUGUUUCUGAUCAUAUGACAGUCCUGUGAUGUCCACUGUUUCUGAUCAUAUGACAGUCCUGUGAUGUCCACUGUUUCUGAUCAUAUGACAGUCCUGUGAUGUCCACGGUUUCUGAUCAUAUGACAGUCCUGUGAUGUCCACUGUUUCUGAUCAUAUGACAGUCCUGUGAUGUCCACUGUUUCUGAUCAUAUGACAGUCCUGUGAUGUCCAUUGUUUCUGAUCAUAUGACAGUCCUGUGAUGUCCACUGUUUCUGAUCAUAUGACAGUCCUGUGAUGUCCACUGUUUCUGAUCAUAUGACAGUCCUGUGAUGUCCACUGUUUCUGAUCAUAUGACAGUCCUGUGAUGUCCACGGUUUCUGAUCAUAUGACAGUCCUGUGAUGUCCACUGUUUCUGAUCAUAUGACAGUCCUGUGAUGUCCACGGUUUCUGAUCAUAUGACAGUCCUGUGAUGUCCACUGUUUCUGAUCAUAUGACAGUCCUGUGAUGUCCACUGUUUCUGAUCAUAUGACAGUCCUGUGAUGUCCACGGUUUCUGAUCAUAUGACAGUCCUGUGAUGUCCACUGUUUCUGAUCAUAUGACAGUCCUGUGAUGUCCACUGUUUCUGAUCAUAUGACAGUCCUGUGAUGUCCACGGUUUCUGAUCAUAUGACAGUCCUGUGAUGUCCACUGUUUCUGAUCAUAUGACAGUCCUGUGAUGUCCACUGUUUCUGAUCAUAUGACAGUCCUGUGAUGUCCACUGUUUCUGAUUAUCAUAUCUGCCAGCUGUGGGGCAGCUGAGACUGAUAUCCAGACAUCAUUGUCAGCAUUUUGGAGAGUCUAUCUAUAUACAUUUAUAAAGGCUAUUGUUUCAGUAUUUAAAAGCAUGACCUUCUAUUUCCAGCAAAAGCAAUCGACAUACUAAACCUAGCAAUAAGAGCUCGAUAUGAACAGCAUUAUGGAACUAUCUUGGCCCGGACAGUGAAGAUUAAGAAGCCCUAAUGGACAGCAGAUGAGAACGUUCUACAACAAACAAACAAACAAGAGUUAGUGGCAUUAGCAUUUGAGCAGUAGAAUGUAUUAAUAUUCCGUCAUUUCAAAAAGACCCAGUGGUGUUAUAUAGUGAGUUCCAAAAGUAUUGAGAAAGUUACCAACGCACAAAUAUCAUAACCCCAAGACGUGCUCAUUAUCAACGCACAAAUAUCAUAACCCCAAGACGUGCUCAUUAUCACCGCACAAAUAUCAUAACCCCAAGACGUGCUCAUUAUCAACGCACAAAUAUCAUAACCCCAAGACAUGCUAACCUCUCACCAUUACAAUAACAGUGGAGGUUAGAAUUUUUGGAGGGGGUAUGAUAUUUGUACAUCUGUAAC